rnacentral:tRNA from 1 species
CACCGGGACGCUAAAAUUGGAUAGCAUUGACCUUUUAAGUCAAAAUUUGGUGAUUACCGACCACCCCCGAUGG